UGUGCUUAACGCGCUGCUCUCACACGGCUCCAGUAUCUCACCUACCUCGAGCCUGCUUAGCCCUGUGUUAGCGGAGAGCUGUUGACAGCUGGAAGGCAUUUAAAAGCACCAGAAUAGAAGAUUUUAAGUUCCGAGCAGGACUAAGCAAUCAACUUGAAAACUUCAGGCAAGAUUAGAGUGAAAAAACAGAUUCCAGGAAGGAAUCAGCAUCAUUCUCUGAGAACUAAAAUGCUGAAUUUCAGAUAGCACUAGUACAGAAAAGAAAAAGCACUGGCAGACUGGAAACGGUAUGAACACACUGGGAGAAUACAGAAGCAAACAAUCCCAGUACCUGCAAGUGGAAAACUAUUCAUCAGCUUCAGCGAUUUGAGCUUUAAUUCAUGUGAAGACCAGAGCUUGCCCUGUUAAGAUUCCUGGAUUUGUCGUCUUUUCUCCUCGUUAAAAAAUAAUGUGAAAUGCCUCCAACUUUCCAGGGAUGAGACUUUCAAGGUCAGUAUCAAUUUUUCCAAGAGCGUCAAGUACCUUGCUCAGCUUUUCUGCAAGUGGUGAUGAAACCACCCACCCCUUCAGACAAUGCACCCUUUUGUUUCCACUAAUUCAGACAGCAGCAGGAAGAGAGGAAAGCAAGUUGUAACACGGGGCUUGGAGGAGCUCGAUGUUGUUAGGGUGGGGUUGAAUAUCACAUGUACAGUUGCACCAGGCUGGUUACAUGCCUAAAGAUAAAGCAGAGGUAUUUGUCCAACUCUGAAUGUUAUGCUGUUAGUCCAAAAGCUUGCCUACAGGCAGCUUUCUUGCCUCUUUACUGGUCUCCUGACCUGCCUGAAUGAGUGAUUAGGGAGUUUUUGCUCAUCCAGGUAGUGUCCGGAGUUUGUUAGAAGUCACCCAAGCCAUCCUCAUCUCAUUUCCAUCUCAGUCUCCCUGCUGAGCUACAUAUAGCAAAAGCUGCUGCUUUCCCAUCAUGCAGCAAAUACCAGUCGCGAGGUCAGACGGGGCAUGAGAUCUCGUCUCGCAGGGUGCUGGUUGGAGCUGGAGAGAUGCAGUCUACACUUGGCCAAGUGAGAGCUGGGACAUUUGAGCUCUCACAGGCUGAGUGCUGUGUCCUGCACGGAUCCUUGCCUGUGUGCAAGCAGGCCUGAAGUCUUGGUGUACGCCUGAGAGAGACACAGACAGCACUUGCUUGGGUACCACUGUCUCUUUUCAGAUGCUAUUUUCCCCUUAUUUUCUUUUCCUGAUCGCUACAUUCCCCAGCACAAGAUGAUACUGAAUCAUUUCCUUCUGUGCUGAGUGUGAAAAUCGUAGGGUCUCCUUAAGGGGUGAACUCUAUCUUUUCACUGCAGAGUAUAUAAUCCUGAUAAAUGGAUUUGCUGCCUUCCAGCAGCAGAAAGCCAUUACAGAAUAUGUUCACCACACUGAAUAUGGCUCUUCUUCAAUACUAAAAUGCUUCCUACUGAGUACUCUCUGCUUUAAAAUUUCCACUUUUGUUAAGAUGUCAGUAAACUUACUAAGUUCUUUUUAAUUUUUCUUCUGCCCAAACUCUGCUAUUACACAGACCUUCAGUAAUACAUUUCUAUUUUUCCUCUAAAGAAACAGAAAAAUUAUUGGAGAGGAGUUCUGAAUUUUUUGCCAGGGUAUUGAAAGAAAUGACGGUAGCUGUGUUCUUGAUAGUUAAUAUAUUUUGCAAACAUUUGAAAGCUGUUGAGUGAAAGUAACUGAAAUUGAAGGUGUACAUUCAUUUAAGGAAGUUGAUAUAAAAAACCCAACAACAUUGCUACCUGCUUACACCCUGCACUGCUGAUCUCUUACCAUGAGGACAAUUCUGGCCAGAAAGGAAAUGAGAAGGGUCCGCAGAUGAUCAAAUCCAGCUAGUGAGUUUCAGCUUCUGAAAUACCUUGCUGCACUGAAGAUGUUUCAGCUUUCGGCUCUAUGCAGGUUGAGCUCUUCUGCUGGGAAGUGAGUGUGAGUGCACUGGCAAAAGGUGAUGCUGAGGAUGGAUUUGUGAACGGCACUUCUCUCCUUGUCAAAGGCUGGGAAGCCUCCGUGAAAGCAGGGCUUUCAGGCAUGCAGGAAAUGCCCCCUGGCUGGUACAAUUGAUCACACCACUUUAGAUCAUCAAGUGAACUCAUUCAUGGCAUUGGUUUACGUGUGCUGCAUCUUUUAAAAAUAAUGCUGUUUUCCAUGCAUACUCUGUGGGACUUGUACAAAAUAUCUUGACUGCCUGCUGUCUUUUGAAUAUCAACACAAUAUGUUUUAUAAAUCACAUAUACAAUGACUAGGCAAUGAAAAAUUAAUUGAUUUUAUAAUGAAGCAUGAAAUCAAAUAGACUUUGAGAUAGAGUUGGGAGAUGCUGGUGUCUGAUCUGAUUAAGAUCAAUGUCAUUUUCUGCUCAUUAGAGCCCAGGCGCUGCUGCUGAAGAAGUCAUUAGUCUUAGUUUAGCGGUUGUAGAACAGUUUGACAGGGUUUAGUUAGUGAUACAUGAGCAAUGAUUGAGUCCUAGGGCUCGUCAGUGCAAAAAUGGGACUGCAAAAAAACUUCAAUGGGCACUUUACCUUGUCAUCAGGCAGUAAGUUCUUCACUGAACUGGAGUAGGGAAUGUCCUUAUGGGUAAACACAGAGAGUACUUGGUGAAAAAUUUGGACAGGAUACUUUAGACAGACUGCUUCUGAAUUUCUUUUGUUUAAAAUCAUUUUGAUGGACAAUAGGUCUAAAGAAAUUGAAGAUGCCCAACUGCUUUUGCUCUGAGGUGUGGUUUUAUUUAGUUUUCUCCAUGCAAACGGUGACCUGGGAGAAGUAAGUUUGAGAGUGCAAGGAUUCUCUACCUGGGAAAAGUUUUUCAUCCACCUGAAACCCUAUGGACUUGUGUUUUCACAAUCAGGUUGAUAUUUUUUGGUUUAUAGAGUGAUGCAAGAAAUACGAGCUCCAGGAAACUGCAGUUGUAUCAUUGAGUAGUAGCCUGGGUGAGGAAAUGUUCUUUACCUUGAAGAAUAAGCAGAAAGUGUUAGUAGAAGAAUUUAUAGGAAAGUAAUAAUUACACUCACCUGAUGCAUGCUACAGAAAUCUCUCAGACUGAAGGGGAUUGUUAUGAGCUAAGCAGGAUCUGGAAUUGCCCUGCACAAGAAAGACUGGUAUUUGCUUGAAGAGUUUUGCUGAUAUGAAAUGCUCAUGUUUCAAUUUUUUCCCUGGGAUUCAAAGUCCUUAAAAAUCAAGAAUUUACAAAUGUAGAAAUAUUUUCAGUCUCAACAAGAUAUUUGAAUACUUCAAGGUUCAUAAACUGCAUGUGACUUGAAUUACUGAAAUCUCCCAAGGCACUUUGUAACCUCAGUACUUAUCCACAUGUUCCCCAUUUUGAAUGCCUUUGAGGGUUGGGUAAGGGAAAAAGUGUCCCUUAAAAAAAAAUCUUUUAUUAUA